AUACUCACCUGCCAGGGGAGAUACCAUGAUCACGAAGGUUGUCCAGCCAAUGCAUCGCGGCUGUACUGACCCCUGCAAAUCCACCAAAUGUGGGAAUCCCUACUGCAUCAUUUCUGGUGGUGGGCGACUGCAUUUGUGCUUUCCCUCA
rnacentral:snRNA from 1 species